rnacentral:misc_RNA from 1 species
AAGUCGUAACAAGGUUUCCGUAGGUGAACCUUCGGAAGGAUCAUUACCGUAACGCGGCGGUCCGGCAACCGCAAGGAAGUCGGCCGCCACACGCGUUUAUCACCCUUGACUUUGAGCACCUUUCGUUUCCUCGGCGGGUUCGCCCGCCAGCGAGGACCCCCAUAAACCCUUUGUAAUAGUAAUAUUCGUCUGAAAAACAACCAAUAAUCAAAACUUUCAACAAUGGAUCUCUUGGUUCUG